rnacentral:lncRNA from 1 species
CUUGAGGUCCUCCGGUGACGGAGUUGAUGGUCCUGAUUGGAGGCCGAUCUCCGGGUUGCUCCUCCCUCCUUGGCGGUUCAGGUUGCGGCAGGACCCUUGGCCGAUCCUCUCUGCCUUCGGGUCGACGUCGAACGAACCUGUCGAGCCGACCUCAUCUGAUAAGCUCCUCGAUCUCAUCCCAGAGCUGAAUGCACUCCUCUAUAUCGUGGCCGUGGUCACGAUGGUAGAGGUAGAACUUGUUAGGAUUGCGCUUCCCAGGGUGUGUGCGCAUCCUUUCCGGCCUUGGCAGCUGCUCCCUGACC